rnacentral:rRNA from 1 species
GAUGAACGCUGGCGGCGUGCUUAACACAUGCAAGUCGAACGAUGAAGCCCAGCUUGCUGGGUGGAUUAGUGGCGAACGGGUGAGUAACACGUGAGUAACCUGCCCUUAACUCUGGGAUAAGCCUGGGAAACUGGGUCUAAUACCGGAUAGGAGCGUCCACCGCAUGGUGGGUGUUGGAAAGAUUUAUCGGUUUUGGAUGGACUCGCGGCCUAUCAGCUUGUUGGUGAGGUAAUGGCUCACCAAGGCGACGACGGGUAGCCGGCCUGAGAGGGUGACUGGCCACACUGGGACUGCGACACGGCCCAGACUCCUACGGGAGGCAGCAGUGGGGAAUAUUGCACAAUGGGCGCAAGCCUGAUGCAGCGACGCCGCGUGAGGGAUGACGGCCUUCGGGUUGUAAACCUCUUUCAGUAGGGAAGAAGCGAAAGUGACGGUACCUGCAGAAGAAGCACCGGCUAACUACGCG